UUGCACCUACGGGGGGCAGCAGUGAGGAAUAUUGGUCAAUGGGAGAGAUCCUGAACCAGCCAAGUCGCGUGAGGGAUGACGGCCCUACGGGUUGUAAACCUCUUUUGUCGGGGAGCAAGACCCGCCUCGUGCAGGCGGAGCGAGAGUACCCGAAGAAAAAGCAUCGGCUAACUCCGUGCCAGCAGCCGCGGUAAUACGGAGGAUGCGAGCGUUAUCCGGAUUUAUUGGGUUUAAAGGGUGCGCAGGCAGACCAUCAAGUCAGCGGUAAAAUCGUGGGGCCCAACCCCAUCCCGCCGUUGAAACUG
rnacentral:rRNA from 1 species